rnacentral:rRNA from 1 species
GAUCUGGUCAGACGAACGCUGGCGGCGUGCCUAAUACAUGCAAGUAGAACGCUGAAGACUUUAGCUGCUAAAGUGGAAGAGUUGCGAACGGGUGAGUAACGCGUAGGUAACCUGCCUACUAGCGGGGGAUAACUAUUGGAAACGAUAGCUAAUACCGCAUAACAGCAUUUAACACAUGUUAGAUGCUUGAAAGGAGCAAUUGCUUCACUAGUAGAUGGACCUGCGUUGUAUUAGCUAGUUGGUGAGGUAACGGCUCACCAAGGCGACGAUACAUAGCCGACCUGAGAGGGUGAUCGGCCACACUGGGACUGAGACACGGCCCAGACUCCUACGGGAGGCAGCAGUAGGGAAUCUUCGGCAAUGGGGGCAACCCUGACCGAGCAACGCCGCGUGAAGUGAAGAAGGUUUUCGGAUCGUAAAGCUCUGUUGUAAGAGAAGAACGUGUGUGAGAGUGGAAAGUUCACACAGUGACGGUAACUUACCAGAAAGGGACGGCUAACUACGUGCCAGCCGCCGC